CAGGCUCAAGACGUUCUUUCUCCUUAGAAUUUAUGUGAAGUAAGUAUUCAUGAUGAAGAAAGUAAAAUGCAUUUUACCUAUUGUGGCAUGUACCCAAAAUCAUAACAGAGUGCUAGAAAUGUAUAAAUUUUCUAAAUAUCUCGGGAUAAUGUCUCUCCUUUUAUUUGAUUAUAUACAUACACAAGCAUAUAUCUGUACUAAAAGUAGAACUGCUACAAAAAUGAAGGAAAGACAUAGACUGCAAAAUAGCCCACAGUCUUGUACCAACGUCCAAUUGGUACAAUUAGAUGCAAUUAGAGCUGGAGCUUGUACCAGACUUUCCCACAUAUCAGGUGCAUAUUCUAGCAAUUCUGAGUUAGUUGCUCAAUUUUUCAAUCUGAAAAUGCUCAGUCUGAAAAGUUCCUAAAGGAGAAGCUGAUUCCUAUUUUUAAACAUGUCUUCAUAACUUUGUAUAUCGGGAAAAGUUUGGGGGCACACUGGGCUGUCUCUGAAAGCACUGAACCAUCCAUAGAAUAGUGUUACUGGUAAAGCUUCACUCAGUUUAAGAAAACUGUGCUCACUCAGUGUAGCUAAGGGCACAAGACUGAGAAUACAUCCAAAGUUCUUCGCCUUAUCAUAAUUCCAUGUGAUUUGAAGUAAUAGUUUCUCAGGGAUCAGUAUUGGGACCAAUGCUGUUUAAUAUCUUUUUCAGCAGGACUGAGUGGGAUUGAGUGCAAGUUUGCUGAUUACACCAAGGUGUGCGGUCUAGUUGAGAUGCUGGAGAGAAGGGAUGCUGUCCAGAUGGACCUUGACAGACUUCAGAGGUCGGCCCAUGUGAACUUCACAAAAUUGAACAAGGCAAAGUGCAAGGUGCUGCAUCUGGGUCAGAGCAAUUCCAAGCUCAAAUAUGGUCUGAGUAGAGAGUGGAUUGAGAGAAGCCCAGAGAAGAUGGACUUGUGGGUGUUGGUUGAUGACAGGCUUAAAUAUGAGCUGGCAACAUGUUUUCAGACCAGAGAGGAAAUCAUGUCCUGAGCUGCAUCAAAAGAAGCAUGGCUAGCAGGGUGAAGCAGGUGUUCUUCUCCCUCUCCUCUCCUGAGAUCUCACCUGAAGUGCUGCAUCCAGCUCUGAGUUCCCCAGCAUAAGAAGGAUGUGAACCUGCUAAAGCGAGAUCAGAGGAGGGCCACGAAAGAUGAUCAGAGGUCUGGAACCCCUCAUCUGUGAGGACAGGCUGAGGGAGUUGGUGUUUUCCAGCCUGGAGAAGAGCAGGAUCCAAGGAGACCUUAUAGCACCCUCCCACUACCUUAAGGGGACCUACAAGAAGGCUGGGGGGACUUGUCACAAGGACAUAUAGUGAUAAGACAAGAGGCAAUGUUUUUAAACUAAAAGAGGGUAGGUUUAGAUAGGUAUUAGGAAGAAAUACUUUACUGUGAAGGUACUGGAAUAGAUUCCUCAGAAAAGCUGUGAAUGCCCCAUUCCUGAAAGUGUUCAAGGCCAGGUUGGAUGGGGAUUUGAGACACCUGGUCUAGAGGAAACUUUCCCUGCCCAUGGCAGAGAUGUUGGAAGGAGAUGAUCUUUAAGGUCCCUUCCAAGCCAAAGAGGUCUAUGAUUCUAUGAUCAAAGUCUUUACAUGUCCAAAUUCUAAUGUUUGCAAAAAGCCUGAAAAAGUAAAUACAUCUCUGAAAUGCCACUUGUAUUGUGUGUAGCUGGCAAAAUGAGGGCUACAGGGAUGGCUGCUUUGGCAGGAGUUUAGAAUGAGUCUUGUCCCAGACUCAGCUGGUUUCAGCCUUCUCCACAAGGGACCCACAACAGGACAAGGUAGAAGUUGUUGGCUAUUUGUACAUUUUCUCUGGCAUAGCAUAUUUAAAGAGAGAGGAGAAAGUGUAAGAAAUGAUCCUGCAAGCAACAAGGUCUGACAAGAAGGGUGAGGAUGUGCUCAGACAUUCCCUUGUAACUCUUGCUGGAGCAAUUUAUUUCCCUACAGCCCAUGUACUUGACCACUUUGGAAUAAAUAUCCAUCUUGCAGCCCUCGAAGGACAGAGCUCUGGAAUGUUGUUGUUUAUUUACUUUUAAGAUUAAGAUAUAAAAGAAUGUGUAGUUUGUGUGUAUAUUUUCAGAUUUCCAGACCUACUAUCUAUUAAUCCUAAUGCAUCACAAUUGAUCAAAGUUACUUUCCAAUGCAAGAUUCAUGACAGUUUUGAGUUAAAUUAUUGUACUUCCUGAAGUUUGGAAUUCCAGAGAUAUAUAACACAAGUUUAGGAAGAUUUACUUGCUAUCAAAUAUCAUAUUCUAAUUCAAACAUUUAUAUUAUAGGAAAUUAGAUUAUUGGACUCAAAUCAAAAGGAAGAUAUAGAACUAUUAUGAUAUGUCUUUUACGAAGAAUUACCUUUAGAUUUUUCACACUCUUCUUGUUUAGUUAAGUAACAAAUAAUUUCUGUACAUAGAUCUACAAAUGUGAACAGGCAUAGAUACAUAAGAUAAAUGCUUAAGCACUUACAUGUAUUAAAAGAACGGACAUGUGUCUAGCCCUGGAGACAGUAUGCUUUGUAUCUGGAUUUCAGAUUAUAGCAAACACUUUUGAUUAUUUGCAUGUACAAAGCUGUAUUUGGCAGUACAUUUUAACUUCUUAUAGUUAAGUGAGUCGCAGGUGAGAGAUUAUGCUAAAACAUAAUUUUAAAUGCUAAAACACCAUUGGAGAAUGUUAGUUCUCUGACAAUAAAGAGAUUGACUCUCGAUUCAUAGUGCCACGUCAUUCACUCUUGUCACUUCUUAGCGAAUGGAGCACAUGGGGAAGCUCAAGACUGCUCCUGAGUCAAACUGUUUCAGCCUACUCAGCCCACAUAUAUUAAUUCCUCUCAUUAAACAACACUCUAAUUCUAUCUGGUCCAAACUAGCAGAACCUAUUCAAACUCAGAAGAUUGCUUUAUUGGCAUACAGGUGUCUUCUCUCUCCCUUUUAUUCUGCCAAAUAUUUCCACCAAAGAAACUUAACCAAUAGCUACCCAUUUGAUUUUAUCUUUGAUCUUAUCAAAAACUGAUACACUUCCUAAAGAAAAAGAAUAUUAGAAUCUUUGACAACCUUCUACUGCCAUUUCACCACCACAGUGGAAUUAUUGGAAGGCCACAAAACUGUGCAGAAAAUUUUAACUCUUUAGCAGUUGGGUACCAUUUAUCAA
ensembl:lncRNA